AGCGAACGCUGGCGGCAGGCCUAACACAUGCAAGUCGAACGGAUCCUUCGGGAUAGUGGCGGACGGGUGAGUAACACGUGGGAACGUGCCCUUUGGUUCGGAACAACUCAGGGAGACUUGAGCUAAUACCGGAUGUGCCCUUCGGGGGAAAGAUUUAUCGCCAUUGGAGCGGCCCGCGUCUGAUUAGCUAGUUGGUGGGGUAAAGGCCCACCAAGGCGACGAUCAGUAGCUGGUCUGAGAGGAUGAUCAGCCACAUUGGGACUGAGACACGGCCCAAACUCCUACGGGAGGCAGCAGUGGGGAAUCUUGCGCAAUGGGCGAAAGCCUGACGCAGCCAUGCCGCGUGAAUGAUGAAGGUCUUAGGAUUGUAAAAUUCUUUCACCGGGGACGAUAAUAACGGUACCCGGAGAAGAAGCCCCGGCUAACUUCGUGCCAGCCGCCGCCGUAA
rnacentral:rRNA from 1 species